ACGCUCGACACCUACGGGGGCAGCAGUGGGGAAUAUUGCACAAUGGGGGAAACCCUGAUGCAGCGAUGCCGCGUGGAGGAAGAAGGUCUUCGGAUUGUAAACUCCUGUUGUUGGGGAAAAAGAGGAUGGUACCCAACAAGGAAGUGACGGCUAACUACGUGCAAGCAGCCGCGGUAAUCUGAGCGGGCUGGCAAGGC
rnacentral:rRNA from 1 species